GAAGAGUUCAUAUGCAGUUAAUUUUGAUUGAGGUAUGCACUUUGUUUUAAUUGUUUCCUGUUAAAUAUACAUUCAAGUUGAAUAAGAUUACACAAACAAAAAUAUCAAAGACAGACACACACACACACAUACACGCACCAAUGUCUUGAGUUUUUUAUUUGUCUUAUCAACUUUCGUUUUGUGUAUUUCACAAUAUUUUUAUGUUUAAACAUGUUGAAUGUAUUACUAUUUUUUUGUUAUUUAAUAAAUUUGGGUUACCUAUAGCUAGAUUCUUUUUUCGUUAUUAACACUGCUGCAUGUAAUAUUGUAAUAAAAAUUCAUAAUAUCUAAUAAAAUUUGUAGAUUGCUAACAAUCCUUAUAUUUGUAUAAAGUAAUAUUCGUUUAUUAUAGUGGAAAAUUGUUUUAACUUCAAAUAAGCUACAACUAAUAAUUGCUUCCUAGUCCCUCUCUGUGCUUCAUAGUAGAUAACUCUGGUUAAUUUCCCAAUCAAUCUACCAUGAAGGGGAGAUAAAUAAUUCGUCUUUCAUUUAUAGUCUUUUUCAUCAAUGAUGAACGGUUCUUUAUAGUGGUAUGUAAUCAUUUUAAAUGUUUAAAAUCUAUGAAAUUAUAUUCGUACAUCAAUGUAUUUGAUACACCAAUAACAAAAACUAAAUCAUAUUGAACAUGUUGAAUUGAUACAUUUUGUCAUUAUUCAAAAUCAAAUCAGAAACUUAAACUUAAUUAUAAAAUAAUGAAUCUGUUAAAGGGAGACAAUUAAUGUAUAGAAUAACCCACGGUAAACAAUAUUUCUUUGAAUUUUUUUGAAUUUUUUCGAGCCACUUGACUUUCAUAGCUCAUAAUUAAUAUUUUUAAACAAUAUAUUUUAAUAAAGUAGUUAAAGACUAUUUGCUUCUCAAAUUGUAAGACGCAAUACAAAUCGUAUGCUUGCAUCAACUUACCCAAAAACAGUUUUAUUAAAGUCCUGAACAUCUCGACAUUGUUUUGUUUAUUUCUAUCAAAUUAAUCAAUACCGGUUUUAACAAAUCACAAGUUCAUGUUAAGAUCCGAAAAAAAUACCUUUAUCUUACCUCCUAUACAUUUCUAGGAAUGUGAUUGGUUAAAAGCGUCCUCGUGGAAACCGUGUAUAUUCCAUAUUAGGUUAGUUGGGAGGCGGGGCUUAUUCCAUACACGGUUAGUAGUGGAGUUACGUCCCUUUAUAUUCCAUAUAAGGUAAUAAGGAGGCGGGGCUUAUUUCAUACACGGUUAAUAGUGGUGUUACGUCCCUUUAGAAAAACAAAACAGUACUGAGAAAAAAUCUUAAAGGUUUCAAUAGACGAAGAAAGUGAUGAUAAAGUGAAAUAAAUUCAGAAAACACAUUUAAAUCUAACAAGUUGUCAUUGUUGGCAUCAUGUUAAUGCUAACUGUAUUGAAGACUUGCUAAUUUUGAUAGGUCACUAGUCUAAAUUUUACACGUUAAGAUAGUCGGUAAGAUAAAUUCGUUACAUAGUGUGCUAGUGACGUAAUACGGUAUAUAUGGGGUCAGUAAAUUCCAUAUAUUCGCUCUCACCCCAUAUGGAAUUUACUGACCCAUAGGAUCCGAGCUUCGUUCUCACCCCAUAUGGAAUUUACUGAUCCCAUAUAUACCGUAUUAGGUCACUAGCACACUAUGUAACUAAUAAUAUCCAGUUAUCACCAGGAAAAUACGCUACACUGCAUAUAAAAAGUAUAAACCAUACUACCCAUUUAAUUAUUCUAUAUCAUGGAAUACAUUUUUUUAUUACAAAUCUGAGGAAUAAGUAAUUUGCAGAAUUCGUCAUCAUGAACUAAAUUCGUCACGGUACGGAUCCAAUUUGUUAGUACGGAUUUAAUCCGAUAGUACGGAUUCAAUUCGCUACCAUGCAUGGAUAAAACAUCGUGAUCACAAGUUGUAUAAUUCGUUACAAAAAAGCACAAAUACUGAAUAAAACUUACCACAAGACUAACAAUCCUCAACUUGCAACGCCUCUCCGUAGACAAAAAGAGGACUACUGGAUUCGACAAUUGGGAACUGCGACACCAUAUGGUUGCAAUGACAAAAUUGAUGGUAUAUGUAUUCUAUCUAGUCCUUCCUCUUGCUUGGUGAAUGUGAUGAAUAUGUUCAACUCUACUCCUCGACGUAGACGCAGUCAUGGUCAUUGUCAUUAUACAUCACAUGUCUCUAUUAAUGACUUGCUGCCAUUUAUACAAAAACCGCAAGGUAUUCAUCACAUUCGCACGAAACUUUAUUCAUUACCCCUUUCAAAAUUUCAUUCCCUGUUCAAUUUAUGCUUGGAAACCACUGUAACAAACCCUCAUUCAAACCAAUAUCAACUUACAGCUAUCAUUUCGGAUAUUGCAAGUCACAGACUUUUCAAACCAGUUCGCAUCGGAAAAGAUGAAAAAGAGAAAAGAUAUUUUUUUUAAACUUUCCUUUGCCAACAAAGGUCUCGAUGGCGUCAACUUAGGCAAUAUCCUUCAUUAAAAUUUAGUUCAGUCGAAAAAAACUCCUUAUUUUAAAGAUCAGUCUGUACCAAUAAUUUCUCAUAACUAUACCAAACCAAUAGCAACUAAAAUUUUCAAUUACAAACACGUUUUGCAGGAUCUCAACAUUGACGUCUAAACCUCCUGAUUGCACCUGUGCUAGUUUCCAAUUCACAUAUACUCCGACUGGCCACGUUAUUACCGGAGACCUCAACAUUGUCAAUAACACUUCCCUGUGAAAUUUGUUAUCCAAAGGUCCGAAAUACGCGAGAAAGAAGACGUAGGUACUCUUUCCGAAUGGGUUAAGGCUAUGGGUUCGUUGAUUCAAAUCCGAAUUAAGAAACUAAAUGGGUCCAUCAAUACCCACGCUACUUUAAUGUUUAAUAAUUUUUUGCAAAACACUUGUCCUACCUCCAUUACAAGUAUGUUGUUGUCCCUACAGAUUAAGCCCCAAACAACAUCGUUUUUGUGUGUAAAUAUCAUUACAUAAACUGCUUGAUAAAUGAAUUAGGUAUUGACAAUUCACUUAGAAACUCAACAUAUACCCUCACGACACUUACCAAAGAGGAAAUCCUGGAUAAUCAUUGGUCUGUUCUAGUUUGUACUAGUUUGGCUUUAUAAAUAUUUUGAUAUGAGCGUCACGGAUGAGUCUUGUGUAGACGAAACGCGCGUCUGGCUUACUAAAUUAUAAUCCUGGUACCUUUGAUAACAAUUCUAUGUUCCUUUGGAAUUUCAACCAAUGAUGAAGAGCUGGAUUUUCCAUCACUGUAUUGUAUACCUAAAUUAUAUAGUUGUCCUUACAAACAACGAUAUAUUGCUGGGUCUUCCUACUGCUCCACGAAACUUCUCUCUUAAUUAUUAACAUCUACUUUAUCAGCAAUCAAAGCCGGGCUCCAAAGUUAUUGUAAAACUGCCUAUUCUAGAGGUGGCGUGAAUCAGAUGUGAAUACUAAUAAAAUCCAAAGAUCUUUUAGAGUACAUACAUUCUAAGACUCUCUCAUAUUGCAAAAGUAUUAAAACAUUUGACCUUUCUACACUUUACACAAGUAUUCCCCAUUCCAAACUAAAAGACACAUUGAGAGAGUUGGUAUUACUUUGUUUCAUUAAUAAGAAUGGCGAACGUAGAUACAAGUAUCUUGUCUUGGGGAGGGAUACAUCCUACUUUGUAAAGAGUCACUCUGAUUCAAACAAAAAAAUCUCUGAAACUGACAUUAUCAAGAUGCUUGAUUUCUUGAUUGACAACAUAUUUGUUACGUUUGGAGGACGUAUUUUUAAACAGACUGUCGGAAAUCCAAUGGCAACCAAUUGUGUCUAUCUUCUUGCCGACUUGUUUCUUUAUUAUUAUGAGACUGACUUACAGGAACUGCUUAGGAAAAAAGAUAAGAACUUAAUUUAGCAAUAUCCUUUAACUUUACGUUCCGCUAUAUAGAUGAUGUUCAAUCACUAAUAAAUACAAAAUUUGAUGACUAUGUGGAACAAAUCUAUCCCAUGGAACUAGAGUUAAAUUAUACUACAGAUACAGUUAAGUCGGCCUCAUAUCUUGACUUACAUCUAGAAAUUGACAAUGAGGGUCGAUUGAAAACAAAACAGAUGAUUUCAGCUUCCCAAUUAUGAACUUUCCAUUUCUAUCUAGUAACAUUCCAGCAGCACCUGCAUACGGAGUAUAUAUCUCCCAAUCGAUGCGAUAUUCCCGGGCUUGUAUUUCCUAUCAUGAUUUCCUUGAUAGAGGAUUGCUGCUCACAAGGAAUCAAACCAAUAGUUCCAAAUGGUGAAGUUAAAAUCAUCCCUUUGUAAAUUUUACGACGCCAUUACGAGUUGAUUGACCGUUAUGGAAUAACCAUUUUACAGAUGAUAUCGGAUAUGUUGCUUUUGUCGUAACUACAAUACCCUUCCUUUUUCACGAAUGUGAUCUUGAGGCUUUCGAAUUAGACUAAUUACCGGAUUUGUAAUAGAAGUAACAUAAUCAACACGACGGGUGCCACAUGUGGAGCAGGAUAUGCUUACCCUUCCGGAGCACAUGAGAUCACCCCAGUUUUUGGUAGGGUUCGUGUUGCUUAAUCGUUAGUUUUCUAUGUUGUGUUUUCUUUUGUAUUAUUAGUCUGUUUGUCUUUUAUUUUUAGCCAUGGUGUUGUCAGUUUAUUUUAAAUCCGAGUUUGACUGUUCCUCUGGUAUCUUUCGUCCCUCUUUUAAACUGACGAAUUGUAUUUCAGAUUAAAUUCGUUAUCGCGAUCAAAUCUGUAGAAAUUAUUCAACCCAUAUUUUUGUAAAUUGGUUAUCACAAUAACAAAUGUUUUCACAUAUUUUCUCCAAAUCGUCAUAUUAUAAAGAGUUUAUUCCAUUAAAAUAACACUUGCAAUGUGUGUUAUAUAUGUUACAGGACCAUGGCCAGUAAUUGGAGUAGUUGUGGUGUCUGUGACUAUCGUCAGGUUACCAAGCCAUCAGUAGUCUGGUGUUCCGAAUGUGACGAAGGACUAUGCGGGGAUUGUAAUGAACAUCACAGUAUUUCAAAGGGAACAAGAAACCACGAAACCGUUGCUAUCGCCGAAUACAAGAAGUUACCGAAAGAGAUUCUCCAAAUCGCCACGGUCUGUAAAAUACAUAACGAGAAAUACGAGCUUUUCUGUAGAAAACACGAUUGUCCAUGCUGUAAGAAAUGUGUGAAAUCUCACAACGACUGUAAAGGUUUAACCGACAUCAAUGAAAUCAUAAAAAACGUCAAAACUUCAAACGCCUUUUAUGAAAUCGAAGAAACUGUGCUAGAAGUAGCUGAAAAUAUUGAGAGGAUCAAAACUAAUCGAGAAAAUAACUUAACAUCGUUAGAAAAGCAAACAAGAGAAAUUAAGGAAGAAAUAAAACACACCAGGACAAAGAUUAAUCGUCAUCUUGAUAGUCUUCAGAAUGAUUUGUUGAAGGAAUUAAAAGCAGCUCAAGAAAAAGAGAACAGCAAAAUACAGAAAUUGUUAACUGAUUUAAAAAUAACGGAAAGAAAGAUCACAGAAUUCAAAGAAAACAUUAGUAAUAUCAAACAGCAUGCAUCCGAACUGCAAGCCUUUUUGGCCAUAAAACAUUUCGAAAAAGAAAUUUCCGAUGACGAAAAAAACAUUCAAUCUAUUAUCAACAGUGAUACCAUAAAUCAAGCCAAUAUUUCAUGCCAAUUUACUAAGUAUUUUGCGCAAAUCACACCCAGCGUACAGAAGUUUGGAGAAAUUAAUGUCAGUUCUGAUCCUUGCAAUUUUUCCAUUGAGACACGGAAGCAAAAACAAGCCCAGCUUAUGGUAGCUCUUCCGACUAAAAAUAUCGAUAACCUGACUCUGACGAUUCAGAAACGUAUCAAUACAGAUUUUUCAAAUGUCCAUGGCUGUUCACUGCUGCCUGUUGGAAAAAUGGUAUUCUCUUGUCUUGACCAAGAGAAAAUGAAAAUAUUCAAAUCUGACGGAUCAAAACAUUUUGAAAUCAUUAAGACCAGAUCUCCGUUUGAUGUUGUAUAUGUUGGCGAUGAUUCUAUUGCUGUUACAGUUCACAGCAGUUUAGGACAUAUUAUAACUAUAAUCGACAUAAAGAACAAAAAUCAAAAGAAAACAAUAAAAGUUAAUUCAGACACUGAUGGAGUAGUAUUCAAAGAGGGACAUUUGAUUUAUUGUGCCAGGGAGAAAGGACUACAGAUGCUUAGUCUUAGUGAUAAAUCCAUUACCAAUGUAAUCAAUACCAAACUCUCAGAUUUAGCGUACGUUACAGCAUUACGUGACAAACUUUUCUACACAAACCUUAACAAUCAUAGUGUAACAUGUUGCGAUUACCAUGGUAACAUACUGUGGACAUUCUGUGAUGAAAGUGUUCUGACUACUCCUCUCGGUAUCUCUGUAGAUAAUGAUGGUAACGUGUUUGUGGUGGGACAUAAUACUCACAAUGUUGUUGUCAUAUCUCAUGAUGGACAACGCUAUAGACAACUUUUGUCACGUGAUGAUGGGCUUGUAUUUCCACAGGUUCUGCACUAUGAUACAUCUAUCAAUAAAUUGUUAGUGGCAAAUCAAAACGGAACCGCAUUUUUGUACGAUGUUAAAUGAAACGUUGUGAUAUUUGAUAUUUCGAAUUCUAUGCGGGUCUAUUUUUAUAUGUGCGUCACCGAUUAGUCUUAUGUAGACGAAACGCGCGUCUGGCGUACUAAAUUAUAAUCCUGGUACCUUUGAUAAUUAUUUAGCUGAACAAAAUUAUUCAUUUUAUAAACGUAGCCACUAUUUAACAAACAUUUUAAAGGUUCUUUAAUAGAAACGUACAGACCAAUAACAAUAUUGGGAAUAAUUUUAACACGGGAUUUAUGUCUUUUGGAGAAUGCGUUGACUUGUACAUAAGUUUUACUCAUCAAGAGCUAUGAAAUAGUCAGAAUAACAGAAAAAAAACUAUUGAAUCGCACCUUGAGAAGAAAAAAAAGUACUUUUGAAAUGUGUUUGAUAGAUACAUUAGUAGAUGGCCAAUAAAAAAAAUAAACAGCAAUUUUCCUUUUAUAUCUAGAACUAUCCUAAUACCACUGGUAUUAAAGAGAUAAUCGUAACUGGAAUCACGACUAUCCCAAUAUUGCGACGGCAG
rnacentral:lncRNA from 1 species